rnacentral:lncRNA from 1 species
GUCCACCCUCAGAAUUCUGCUUCAGUCAUUUUGGGUGGGGCUCCAGACUCACAGUUCUAACAAGUUCCCAGUGUGUGUGUGUGGGGGGGGGGUCCAGGUGUUAUCAGGUGGUGGGUUGUGGAACUCUUCAAUCCUUGUCUUCUCCAAGGAAGGAAUUCACUUGGAGAGACUCGACAGCAUAAAGGUGGUUGUGAUAUAAGCCGACUCUACUCUUGUGGUGAUCCAUGGUCAAGGCUGCAGUGGAGCUGACUUAUAACGAUGAAGCAAACAUGGACAGAGGUCAUUUGGUAUGGGAAGAAUUUCAGUCAUGUGGUAGAAGGGAAACCUGGAUGUAAGCAGCAAACUGUGGAUGUGCUAAGUAUAAGCACGAGCCAAUGCAUUGCUGUCUUCCGUGAAGGAAUUUUGUUUUUGAUCCUCCACUACUACCCCACAACAACCCUGAGGAUAUCUCCAACCUUGGAAAUGAAUGUCAUCUUUCCUUCCUCCUCCUCAUUCUUUUUUAAAGGGACAUUUUUGUUUCUUUGA